CAUCAGCAUACAAGACCACCAUGUUCGCCAGAUACUACGAGCUAAGCUUAGACUCUAAGGACCUGGCGGCACCCCACAUCUACCUAGAGGAGCCUGUCCCAUAAUCGAUAACCCACGAUACACCUUACCAUUUCUGGCCACCCCAGUCUAUAUACCGCCAUCUUCAGCAAACA
rnacentral:rRNA from 1 species